rnacentral:rRNA from 1 species
UGGGGAAUCUUGGACAAUGGGGGCAACCCUGAUCCAGCGACGCCGCGUGGGUGGUAAGGCCUUCGGGUUGUAAAGCCCUUUCACCGGGGAAGAUGAUGACAUUACCCGGAGAAGAAGCGCCGGCUAACUCCGUGCCAGCAGCCGCGGUAAGACGGAGGGCGCUAGCGUUGUUCGGAAUCACUGGGCGUAAAGGGCGCGUAGGCGGCUGUUUAAGUCGAGGGUGAAAGCCCGGGGCUCAACCCCGGAACGGCCUUCGAGACUGGGCAGCUCGAGACCGGAAGAGGAGGGUGGAAUACCCAGUGUAGAGGUGAAAUUCGUAGAUAUUGGGAAGAACACCGGUGGCGAAAGCGCUCUACUGGGCCAUGACUGACACUCAGAGACGAAAGCUAAGGUAGCGAAUGGGAUUAGAUACCCGCGUAGUCC